ensembl:snRNA U6 U6 spliceosomal RNA
GUGUUCACUUCAGCAGCACAUAUAUAUUAAAACUGGAAGAUCAGCAUGGCACCUGCACAAGAAUGACACACAAAUUUAGGAAAGGUAAAUGCUUAAU